rnacentral:ribozyme from 15 species
UUAUUUAUUCACGAAUUUUUUUUUUUUUUUUUCUUUUUUUUCAUAUUUGUUCCGAUAUUUGAUUGACCUUAGAUAUAAACGGUAAACAAGCCCAGAGAUAAAAAAAAAAAAUCGAGAAAAAAAGAAGAGGAC